UCCGUAGGCGGUGUGGUAAGUCGGGAGUGAAAUCUCUGGGCUUAACCCAGAGGCUGCUUCCGAAACUGCCGUGCUAGAGUGUGAGAGAGGCGAGUGGAAUUACGGGUGUAGCGGUGAAAUGCGUAGAUAUCCGUAGGAACAUCCGAGGCGAAGGCGGCUCGCUGGAUCACAACUGACGCUGAGGAACGAAAGCUAGGGAGCAAACA
rnacentral:rRNA from 1 species